AUUGGUGUGGUGAUGAUGUCUUAUAUUAGGACUAGAGUUUCUGAUCUGGGGUUUUUACCCAGAAGUUGAAGACUAACCCCUUGGCUGUCUGAGCACCAAU